UCUGCAGGGCCUGUGCUGAGGGUCACUCCCAGAGGGAAGAUGGGUCUAUACCGACCCAUCUGUGUGCUGGCCUUCUUGAGAUCAAGAGGCCUCAGGUCUAGGCUACAGACGUUCUCAAUAAAUCAGGAUUAGACGUGGGUAAUGGUGCAGGCCACACUGGAACUGAGGGGUAUUCAGACCAGGGUGGCGCAGACUCACCUUCCCGAACACGGCCACGCGCGUCCUGUCAAUGUACUGCUCCUUCAGCAUCGUCCUGUGAGGUUGAGGAGGGGAGAGAGGGUUCAGUGCACAUCCUGCUGGCACUUUGUCUUCUUGUAGCCCAGAGCCAUGUUUUCCAUCCAUUUCAAGGAUGAAAACCCCUCUUCAAAUAAAAAGCAACCUUAGCAUUCCAAUAUAAUUAUUUAUUGCUUUUAUUUAUUUAGUGCCAAGUCAGCAUGUUCACGUUAAAACCUCAAAGCACCCUUGCAAUAACUCUGUAGCACUUCCAGGUAUAAA
rnacentral:lncRNA from 1 species